rnacentral:lncRNA from 1 species
UUCCAAAGAAUACCUCACUGGUUGUGUCAUAUACAAGAAAAUUUUGAAUUGUUUCCACAAUUAAGACACUGACUCCUAAUCAAGUGUGUUAACCAUGUGUUGGCGAUACAGUGAUGAAUUACACAGACAUUGACUGCAUCAGUUUGAUAUAAAUAAGUAACCCAUGUUACGAUGGAGAACCAUCUCCACUGCAUGCCUGAAAAUAACAAGAAAUUUGGACACACAAAGAAAAGACACCAAGUGCACGAGUACCCAGAAGGACAACCAUGUGAAGAGGCAGUGAGAAGGUGCCACCUGCAAGCCCAGGAGAGAAGUUGCCACCUGCAAGCCCAGGAGAGAAGUUUUGGAAGAAACCACACCUGCUGACACCUUGGUCUCCAACUUCCA